rnacentral:rRNA from 1 species
GAUGAACGCUAGCUACAGGCUUAACACAUGCAAGUCGAGGGAGCGGCGGACGGGUGAGUAAUGUCUGGGAAACUGCCUGAUGGAGGGGGAUAACUACUGGAAACGGUAGCUAAUACCGCAUACCAUCAGAUGUGCCCAGAUGGGAUUAGCUAGUAGGUGGGGUAACGGCUCACCUAGGCGACGAUCCCUAGCUGGUCUGAGAGGAUGACCAGCCACACUGGAACGGAGACACGGUCCAGACUCCUACGGGAGGCAGCAGUGGGGAAUAUUGCACAAUGGGCGCAAGCCUGAUACAGCCAUGCCGCGUGUGUGAAGAAGGCCUUCGGGUUGUAAAGCACUUUCAGCGGGGAGGCGUUACCCGCAGAAGAAGCACCGGCUAACUCCGUGCCAGCCGCCGCGGUAAUUC